UACAGAGACUGCAAGCGUUAUUCGGAUUCACUGGGCGUAAAGGGUGCGCAGGCGGCCGAGUGUGUGAGGCGUGAAAGCCCGGGGCUUAACCCCGGAAUUGCACCUCAAACUACACGGCUAGAGCAUUGGAGAGGGUAGCAGAAUUCACGGUGUAGCAGUGAAAUGCGUAGAUAUCGUGAGGAAUACCAGAGGCGAAGGCGGCUACCUGGACAAUUGCUGACGCUCAUGCACGAAAGCGUGGGGAGCAAACAGG
rnacentral:rRNA from 1 species